GUCGUACACAGUUGAUUUAUUUCAAGAUUGAUGGAAAGGUGUCUACCUUUCUUCAAGAUCUUGCAACAGGCAAAAAACUUUUUAUGGUUAGAUGAGUACUGACAAUCUUUCAAAGAUUUGAAAAAAAUACUUGACAUCUCCACCAUUACUCACAAAACUGAAGGUGAGAGAAAUAUUAUAUCUCUAUCUGGUGACCUCGACAGAGGCGGCU
rnacentral:lncRNA from 1 species